CUGUUUCAACCUGUUGCGGGCAAAUCCAGUGAAUAUGCGUAUCCACACCGCCUGCUGUUAGUAUUUGCCCUUCACCUGCAAUUACCUCGGUUGCAGCCCCUAAAGGAAUGGUGAUGUUGGGUUGAAUAUCAGGGUUACCUGCUUUACCUAUUUUCCAAAUACGUCCGCUUUUAAGUCCAAUAUCGGCUUUAACAAUUCCCCACCAAUCGACAAUCAAAGCAUUGGUAAUUACAGUAUCCGCCACUUCAUCUGCUAAUAAUUGUGAUUGUCCCAUUCCAUCACGA
rnacentral:sRNA from 1 species